GGGCGCAAGCCUGAUGCAGCGACGCCGCGUGAGGGAUGGAGGCCUUCGGGUUGUAAACCUCUUUUAUCGGGGAGCAAGCGAGAGUGAGUUUACCCGUUGAAUAAGCACCGGCUAACUACGUGCCAGCAGCCGCGGUAAUACGUAGGGUGCAAGCGUUAUCCGGAAUUAUUGGGCGUAAAGGGCUCGUAGGCGGUUCGUCGCGUCCGGUGUGAAAGUCCAUCGCUUAACGGUGGAUCCGCGCCGGGUACGGGCGGGUUUGAGUGCGGUAGGGGAGACUGGAAUUCCCGGUGUAACGGUGGAAUGUGUAGAUAUCGGGAAGAACACC
rnacentral:rRNA from 1 species